UGGAAAACUGGAAGGUAUAGAAACUACCCACCAGAGCUGCUAGUAGAUAUUGUAGCGAGGAUUCUGUCGAUGGUACCGCCAUGGACACGAGUCUAUCGGGUCCAGAGAGAUAUCCCUAUGCCUCUUGUUACGUCUGGUGUCGUGAAAGGUAACCUGCGUGAGCUUGCUUUGGCUCGAAUGGAAGACCUGGGCUUGAAAUGCAGAGAUGUCAGAACCCGUGAGGCUGGAAUUCAGGAUAUCCAUCACAAUAUCAGGCCUGAUGAAGUAGAGCUUGUCAGGCGUGAUUAUGCCGCAAAUGAUGGCUGGGAGACCUUUCUCUCAUAUGAG